UUUAACUGAAGAGUUUGAUCAUGGCUCAGAUUGAACGCUGGCGGCAGGCUUAACACAUGCAAGUCGAGCGGGGGAAGGUAGCUUGCUACUGGACCUAGCG
rnacentral:rRNA from 1 species